GCAUCGCGCUGCCCAGCGGCUUGAUAAACAAGCUGUUGUUACGCAGCCGCACCUCACCACUGGCGUGGGUGACGCCACCAUCGAGCGGGAUCGCCAGCCGUAGAUUACCGCUGACAUCGCCGCCGACCUGCAACUCGCCCAGCGUCGCGCCGACCGAGCCCUUCAGCGGCGAUUGCAUAAAGUAGUCAUGCACGGCCUUGCCGCUACCGGCGACAUCGGCGUUGAUCAGCAGCCGCUCCUCGCUAUAGCGUGGAAUGUCGGCGUGAAUGUUGCUGCCACGCGCCGCGCCAAGAUGGGCCGAGGGCGCGAACAUCCAUAGCCCGUCGUUGAGGAAGUCGAGAUCGAUGGUCAGAUCGGUCAACGGGGCCCAGUCCGGCUGGAAACGGAAGGUCGCCU
rnacentral:ncRNA from 1 species